CGGGUGAGUAACGCGUGGGUAACCUGCCUCAUACAGGGGGAUAACGAUUGGAAACGAUUGCUAAUACCGCAUAAGCGCACAGUACCACAUGGUACAGUGUGAAAAACUCCGGUGGUAUGAGAUGGACCCGCGUCUGAUUAGCUAGUUGGUGAGGUAACGGCCCACCAAGGCAACGAUCAGUAGCCGACCUGAGAGGGUGACCGGCCACAUUGGGACUGAGACACGGCCCAG
rnacentral:rRNA from 1 species